AUUGAACGCUGGCGGCAGGCUUAACACAUGCAAGUCGAGCGGAGAUGAGGUGCUUGCACCUUAUCUUAGCGGCGGACGGGUGAGUAAUGCUUAGGAAUCUGCCUAUUAGUGGGGGACAACAUUCCGAAAGGAAUGCUAAUACCGCAUACGUCCUACGGGAGAAAGCAGGGGAUCUUCGGACCUUGCGCUAAUAGAUGAGCCUAAGUCGGAUUAGCUAGUUGGUGGGGUAAAGGCCUACCAAGGCGACGAUCUGUAGCGGGUCUGAGAGGAUGAUCCGCCAAACUGGGACUGAGCCACGGCCCAGACUCCUACGGGAGGCAGCAGUGGGGAAUAUUGGACAAUGGGGGGAACCCUGAUCCAGCCAUGCCGCGUGUGUGAAGAAGGCCUUAUGGUUGUAAAGCACUUUAAGCGAGGAGGAGGCUCUUUUGGUUAAUACCCAAGAUGAGUGGACGUUACUCGCAGAAUAAGCACCGGCUAACUCUGUGCCAGCGCCCGCCGUAAAAC
rnacentral:rRNA from 1 species